rnacentral:tRNA from 1 species
AUUUAAAUAGCUUAAAUAUAAAGCAUAACGUUGAAGGUGUUAGGAUGAUAUAAUUAUCUUUAAAUA